CCCUACGGGGUGCAGCUGGGCGUCUUCUCGAUAUUCUCAUUCAACCCGCGCUGCAUUGAUGCCGCGCGAUGCAGCCACUGUGGUCUUUGCGCCAAAAGCUGCCCGACGCAGGCGAUCCGCCAUGACACUGCGGCCAAAACUACUGCCGUCCAGCCGUACAAAUGCAUUCAGUGCGGACGCUGCGCCGAAGUCUGCAAACGCAAUGCCUUCCAGAAAUCCACGCCUUGCAACGCGGGCGGAACGUGCCCGGGCGAUGCGGGUUCUGGUGAGGCAUAGGUUCUCGCUGCAUCAGGUCAAUUUCUGUAUUCGAUGCCUAUGCUUGUAUAUCCUGCGUGUAUUCCAUCUUGAGCCACGCGGGUAGCCACAUACAAGCGUGGUUGAGGUGGGGAUUGGGGAGAGC
rnacentral:rRNA from 1 species